UUGAACAGUUUCUUCUGUGACUGCCUCUC
rnacentral:piRNA from 1 species